rnacentral:misc_RNA from 1 species
CCUUAAAGAACCUGCCUUUGUAGUGCUCACACAGAUUGUCUGAUAGAUGUAAAGAAGCAAGACGGCUGCGAAGUCGCGACACCUCGUGUCCCCUUCGUCUAGCGGUUAGGACUCCGCCCUUUCACGGCGGCAACAGGGGUUCGAAUCCCCUAGGGGACGCCACUUGCUGGCUGUGAGUGAAAGGCACAACCAACCGAUAUCUCAAAACUCAUCUUCGGGUGACGUUUGAGAUAUUUGCUCUUUAAAAAUCUGGAUCAAGCUGAAAAUUGAAACGACACACAGUUAAUGUGUGUUCGAGUCUCUCAAAUUUUCGCGACACGACGAUGUUUUACGAAACAUCUUCGGGUUGUGA